UACGUAGGCAGCAAGCGUUGUUCGGAGUUACUGGGCGUAAAGGGUGCGUAGGCGGUUGUUUAAGUUUGGUGUGAAAUCUCCCGGCUCAACUGGGAGGGUGCGCCGAAUACUGAAUGACUCGAGUGCGGGAGAGGAGAGUGGAAUUCCUGGUGUAGCGGUGAAAUGCGUAGAUAUCAGGAGGAACACCGGUGGUGUAGACGGCUCUCUGGACCGUAACUGACGCUGAGGCACGAAAGCGUGGGGAGCAAACAGG
rnacentral:rRNA from 1 species